rnacentral:lncRNA from 1 species
UGAGGAGGCAUUAAAGAAGAGGAGGAGUGUCCCAAGGGAGGUGAGCUGGAGGCGAUGCAAGGUAGCUGUAGGGUUAGCAAUGACUUUCAAUCCCCUUUGAUUAAUCAUGAGUGUAUUUCAUUUAGUUCCUUUUUUAAAUUUUAUCCUUAUCAGGUCACAUAAAGGCAUCAGCAGGGCAGGGAUCUGUGCUUCGCAAGUCUUGGGAGUCUGACAAAUUUGAUCCCCUUUGUCCCAUGGCUAAAUGCUCCUCUUUCUUUCUGGGCAGAGACCUGUAUAGCUUCUUGGUGCUGAAGGAACCUUGGAGGUAAUCUAAUAUAACUCUUUAUUGUACAGAUGAGAAUCUGGGCUCAAAGAGAUUAACCAACUUGUCCAAAGUCACACAAAAAGUUAGGAGUAAAUGUUCUGACUCACAGUUUUCUUUUCCAACAGGCGGCUGGCCCUCCUUAGCAGGUGGAAGUUUCCUCAGAUCUCAGAGAGCUGCUUUCCAGCAUGGGGUUUGGCACAGAUGUGCCUCCUGAUGGCUCCCAUCAGAACAGGCAUUUCUGGCAAGAGAGCAGCUCUGAUCCCCUGGCUUUCCUGGACCAGGCCCCUAUAAUUCUUUAAUGCAAGAAGCCAGAGGACUGGAAUGAGGAUAUUUACCCCCAGGAUUCAUUUAGGGGAACUUGGCUUUCUUGGCCACAUAGUAUAGUGAAAACUGCCCUAUGCAGACAGCAUGGGGAACAUGAGGAUGGACAAGUGUCACUCUUCACAGGCUAGUAAUUAAUUUUAUUUUUCCAUUUUAAGGAUGGGAAAGAGUCUUUCUACUCCUAAAUUAGAUAUAUCCCUUUAUUAAAUAUAUCCUAAGAUGGAGAGAUCCUUUGAGAGACCAUCCUUGAAGCUGGAUGAGACCAAGCUUUCUGAAAAUUGAGACCCCCUUGUACAGCUUUUGUCCCAGACAUUCGAACCUGAUCAGUUGGAAAGAAGUUUGGUAUUAAAAAUUCAUUCUCCCUAGUACUUUUGGUGAAGUGGAGUCACCUUCAUUCCGGUCAGACUAAGGGCAACGAGGGCACAGUGUCUUACUGAUGAGAUUGACCUCACAGUGGUGGUCUUGUGUUUAGGGCUUUUACUAUCAUUAGUAGCACAGGAGAGAAUUCAGGGAGGUUGUAUGGGAAGAACACUCCUGAUGAGUUUUUUUUUUUUUUUUUUUUUUGGUAUUGGGGAUGGGACUCAGGGGCAUUUAACCACUGAGCCACAUCCCUAGACCGUAUUAUAUUUUAUUUAGAGACAGCGUCUUGGUAAGUUGCUGAGGCUGGCUUUGAACUCACAAUCCUCCUGCCUCAGCUUCCUGAGCUGCUGGGAUUACAGGUAUGUGCCAUUGCACCCAGUGUAAUGAGGUAUUUUUAUGAAAAGUAUGCUGGCUGUACAUGUGGAUUUCUUAUUUUGGAAAAAUGCUAGUGGUCAUCGGCAUGAUCCUUCUAUUAUGCAUCUUUCAGUCUUUUCUGAGUGAAAAUCAGUCCACUUCUGACCAUUAAUUGUUGGGAGGAAUGGAGGAUUAGUAUUACUGACUACCUUUAGUGUGCCAGUCACCCAGGUUUGCCAGAUACUCACCAGAAAUUAAUUAAUUUAAUACUUGUAAUGACUCUGAAAUUAUUACCCCUAUUUUAUGGAUGAGGCUUAGAGUAGAGGCUUAGAGAAGUCUUUUUUAUUUUAUUUUUUUACUAGUUGCUCAAAACAUUACAAUGAUCUUGAGAGAAGUCUUUUUUAAGGUCCCAGAACUACUAAGCAAGACAUUGUGAUUCUCAUAUUUUUGAUUCUUCUCAUUCAUAAAAGAACUCUCAGAGAUAAACAUACAGGCAAUUCAUAAUCAAAAUUUCUUAAAUCAUUUGUGUUAAGAUAGGUGAAAGGAUCUUGCCAAAGUUAGGGACAUUUGUAGGUUGCUUUUAAGUUCAACACACACUAAUAUUUUUGUGAAUGAUUAGGCCUAUUUGUUUUUAUAUAUGGCUUUCCUAUCUUCACUCUACUGCCACUUAUUUAAGAGAGGAAAACAUAUUUUUUAAUUGUACUGAGACUUCGUGUCAAAGCAGUGAGUGAAAAAGUUAUCAUGGAUUUGCAAAUGGGAGGGAUUAUAGGAGGUAGCAUCUGGAACUCCAGGAAAACCCCACUCCUAUCUUUUUCUCACUUUGGCAUGAAUCACAUGUUUUGACCUUUGUUAUUUCCCCCCGUGUCCCAAAAGUCAAGAGCUAAGAAAAGCAACCUUGUUGGGCGGCCAGCCCCACCUUAAAGGCAGGUGAGGGUUAGGUUUAUACAUACCCAGUAAACAUCCAGAAUAAUCCUUCUGGCCAAUAGGACUACUGAGAGGCUCUCUCAAAAUUCAUCCUGGUGGGCCUCCAUCUGUCACUUUUUUCCUCACUCUUUGCCCCAACCAAUUCUGGAUUCAGUAAGUCAGAAGGGAAAAGACCAAGGCAAUUCAAAGAAGUAAAAUGGAAAAGUAAUGUUCAUACAAGGAUAAGAGUGUAGUUCAGAUAUGAUCAGGGUGGAGGUGUAUACUGGGAGGGGGAGAUCCAGUUAGGGAAAGAUUGUACAUGCAGAUUCUCUUUUUAUUCUGGCUACCAGGGAGAUUCCAGUCCCUCUCAGUUUCUCUGGGUUCCCAGUGGCAAAACACAAUAAUAAUAUUCAGCUUAGUCCCCCUCUUUUAGUCUGUUGGCUGUAAAUACAACUGAUUGUCAAAAUUGUCACUGAUAACAAGUGAUAACAAGUCUCCCUCCACGGAAGAUGGAUAAUACUCAAUAUCUCUCAAAAGACUAAGUUUGGAAACACAUUCACAUUGCAGAAGUUUGGUGUUACCAAUUCAUAUAGAAGAGUCUGAAGUUAAACUCCAGAUUUGCAGGUAAGUAUCAGGGAGUUCCAAUAUUUCUAUUGUCCCUCCAAAGACUGACUGGACCUCUAGGCAAGAGGAGGCAUUGAUAAGAAUCUCAAGAGACAGAAUAAGAUUCUCACCUCACCUCCCAAUGAGCACUUCUGCUUGCCAUAGAGAGACAGCGCAAGGAGGAUCUGCUGAGGCAUACCACCAGGUGCUGGGGUCUGAGGAUGGAAAAGUGCCACAGACAUACCCAGAGGCUGCUGGUCUUCUCAGAUGCCGAGUGAAGGGGCAGCAUCAUGGGGACACGAGAGGAAACUGUCCUGGUCUCUAUGCACACUUCCUUUGAUAGAGUAGUUUAUGAAAGUCAAAGAGGACUCUGGGAGGGCAAUGAAUUCAUUCUUUGCCCACAGACAUGAUUUUAAUCAUCAGUUUUUGAUAUAUUCCAGAAAAAGGAGACUCUCUGGUUGUGUGGCAUAGUGGUACCCUUGGAAGCAGGCUGUCUUGUGCUUAUGUCCUGGCUUUGCCACUUACCAGCCAUGUGACCUUGGGCAAUACCUGUACCUCCUUAUGCUUUGGUUUCUUUAUUUGUAAAAUAGCAAUGGAUCCUUGUGAAGAUUAAACAGAUUAGAACAUAACUACUUUGAACAGUGACUUGCAUAUAAAAAAGUUCUCCAAGACUGUAGGACAUCAAUCAUGAUUAUUACUAGUAACUUCUUGCAGUUGCUAAUGAUUUUUUUUUCCAAGGGAAUUUUCAUUUUAAAAUUCUUUUUGCAGAAUCUUCAGAAAGCUUUUCUUUUCCCAACUAAUUGAAAUGGGGAUGACUUAUCAUAGGAUUUAUUGAAGGGACCUCAGGCUGUAUCUAGUCAGUCUUCUUCACCUUACAAAUGAGUCCAGGGAGGUGAUGGGCUCAAAUUCUUAAAGGGCAAAACUAGAUUUGAAACCCAAGUUAUAGUCUAAGAUUUCUUUUUCCAUUUUGUAAUAACUUCAUGCAUAGCAAUUAAACAUUGUCUAAUUUCUUUGUGGCUCACUUAGGGCAACUCAGAAACGGACCAGGCCUUAUCCUGUGGAAGGGGCUCAUCAGUGGUGAUUAUAAUAAACUGUCAUAAUCAUGGCACCUCAUUGGCUUUAUUUUUCUUUACAGCAUUAUCCUAUUGUAGACUUUCCCUUUUGUUGAAAAAGAAAGGAGGGGCGCUAUUGUCUCUGAAUGGAAGGAGGGAAAGACUGUAAGGCAGGCUGUGGCUAUUGAUCCAUCUGUUCCUCAGCAGAGCAGGCUGGAGGCCCUGCUGUGAGGAGCAGGAUCCCUAAUGAGCAGGGUUGUACAGGUUGAGAUGAGAGAGAAGGAGACCAGCCUUUCUUCUUUCACCCAGCAACACGUGCUGCACACCUGCUAUGUGCUCAGUAUGAUGCUAGGUAUCUAUAGGAAUGCAAAAAAUCCAGGGCAGUGUUUGAGACUUCAAGGAAUUUCUUUAGAAAGAGACAGAGAUCACAGACUGAACUGUAGGCAAGCUCUGGAGUUCUUCAAGGGCCUUGUACUCCCACAACAGAGAGAAAACUUCUUGUUCUCUAAGCCCACAAGUUGGGAACUCAGCUUGGCUGGAAAGAGAAAGAUUUUCCAGGUGGCCGGAGGAGAGAGUCGCAGGGAUGUGGACCGGAAGUGCAUGGGUAAUAGAGCACUUUCCUGGGGCAACCAGGUGUCAGGGUAUGGAGGAAAGAAUUCAGAGUUCUUAUGGUUUUGCCACUAACUGGUUGUGUGAUACUGGGGAAUUCACUUCAUUUCUCCAUUCUUCAUGUUCUACUUCUUCUCAUGAAAAGGUUGAAAUCAGGCAGAGGUUAAAGUUUCUCACUGUUCUACCACUCUGUGCGUGUAGGAGUGGAUAUCCUCAUAUGCAAAGAGAAAUCGGCUUUGAUGUGGAGAAAUGGGCUAGGUGUGAACUCAAAGACUUUGAGCUGAUUCUUCCUAUUGAAGAGGGUCAUUGAUGCUGAGCCACCUCUCUGAUUUCCACUGAUAGUGCCAGUGACCCUGGCCCCUUUGUGGUUCUUUGAUCCUUAUUUAUGAACUUGGUGCAUGAAACUCUUCCUCACUGCUUUAGAAGACCAGGGCAGUUAAUCUCCUGCCAUUCACUCAUGAUUAUAGCACAGGAGCAAAGCAAACAUGGUUGAGGUCUCAAUGUAGGAAGAGCCUCCCACAUGAUAGCUAAGACAGCACACACGAGGCUGCAGUUCCUUGGCAUUGUCCCUGUGGAGGCUGGCUUCCCUUUUCAAUGCCUCUGAAUAAUACUUUGUCAGAUGGCAAGUGAAGUUGGAACUUGGCCCAGGCUUGUGACUCCAGCAUGCCCGGUAGCCCUGGAGGCUGAACCCCUAAAGCAUGGUGUGGGCUUGCACACAGUCACCCUACUCCUCAGAUUUCUCUGGAAUGACUUCAUGGAGAGGAGGAAAACUCAAGAACCUCACUUGGGUGGCAUGUGUUUUAUUUUAGCUUCAUAAUUUAUUGGGACAUUGAUCUGCAAGUGUAGCCGAGGCUGCAGCUUGUGUCCUAGAGCGGAGGCAGCUUGGGACCAGCAAAGGAGAUGCAUCUUCCACUUUGUACACCUUCCUUUUCUGGAGAAUCAGUCCAUAGAUAUGGUCACACAAGUUGGGAGAGAGUCAAGGCAAAGGGAUUAACAUGACGACAUCUCAUUUUCCACUUGUCAAUAAUUUAAUUCUGCCUUCAUCCUUUUCAUGUUGUAAGUUUUGAUCUUUUCUGGUCUGCUUCCCUACUCCAAUCUAUCCCCCAGCACAUACUUUGUGCUAAUUAGUGGACUUCCAUCACCUGGGCUUGAAAAAUGAAAGUUUGAGCUACUGUGUAAGACCCCUCAGCAAGAUAAGUAGGAAAAGCAGUUUCCUUUUCCCAACUCACAGAAAAGCUAUUGUUAUUAUGUGUCUUAAAAGUGUACAUUAAAAUGUUAUUUCUAACAGAGGACUCAGAAAACACCUAAAUUCCAAAUACUGGGUGCCCUGUCCAUAUCCCGGCCUUUGCUGAAAUAUCACCUUCCUUGACAUCCUGAUGGAAAAUUGUAAUCUCUCUAGCCCCUUGGCAACACCUUCUCUGAUAUUCUCUCUCUCUCUGUUUUAUUUAUCUAACAUAUUUACUUAUUUAAUUUUGUAUUUAUUUCCAUCAAAAUAUGAGCUUCAUGAACUUCCCAGAGCCAUAUCCCUAGUGUUUCUAAAAAUGUACCUGGCACACAGUAGGUUCUUAAUAAAUUGUUAUUGAAUGAAUAAAUGAAUGUUGUUACAUUCUAUGAACACAACUUUAAUCUCUAAAAUCUAUACUUGGGAUUGAUUUUCCUUCUUAAUAAUUUGUUGCCCUAGUAGUAUAUUUAUACUGACAUUUCUUUUCCUGAAAGCUAUAAAUACUCAUGAGGUUUAGUCCUUAAGCCAGAAAAGGAUAAUUUAAACUUCCUUAGUCUACUCUCUGCAUCCAGGUAAAAAGAAAACUUAUGACGGUUAGAUUUCUUAUUUAAAUACAGAGUUUGGGAGUCUGACCUUAUUUAAAUUAAUACAAGCAAUUGCAUUUGGCUUGACUUCCUGUGUCCCAUCACCAGGUCUUUUUCCUAUUGAGUGUGGCAUGCUGGCUGACUGCAACCUCACGAGCCCUUGAGCAUGUCUCCAGAUAAUGUCUUCAGCAUUUGAUGCACACUACUGUGUGCUGCUAAAUCCAUAAAUGUAUGAGUUUGUGAUGUGUAAAUAGCUUAAAUAAAUAAAUAAACACACCCCAGUGGAUUCUGUAUUCUUGAAGAAUACCCAGAUUAUGUGAUGUCUGAGGUGGUAGGGGGUUAGGAAUUGCUGUUUCACUUAGGAAAAUAUGUUAUUGUGUUUUUUGGUUAUGAAAAUAGCAGGCUCUUGUGGGUUUCUUUGGUGAGAAAGUCUGAAACGUUCCUUUGUGAAAUCAAGUAGAAGCGUUCACCUUUUUCCCUGUCAACCCAAGACUCAAGGCCUGGGUCCUUGGGUCUCAAAGGUGAGGGAAGGAGAGAAAAGAGAAAAAGGUUCCCAUCCUCCCUAUUUUACCAGUGCCACAGCAGGAUAUCCAAGGAACUUAGGGGCAUUAACAUCUGCUCACCACCAGGAAGUUGUAUGUGGUCCUAGAGUGCUUUAUUAUCAACCUGAGAGAAAAUUCCAUUGCAGUCAAUAGCAUUGAGGGAGGGGACAGAAGAGAUUGAGAGAAGCAUCCCUGUGGGCAGAGUCAGCAGCAGUCCUGUGCACCAUCCUGUCCCCUGCAUUCAGCAUGGGGUGCCACGCCUGGCCUUCACUCAUUAAAUCUUUCAUGUACUCAUUUGCUUAAUAUAUAUUUAUUGAGUGCUUAAUAUGUGCCAGACUUGUUCUUACUGCUGGGGUUAAAGCAAUGAAUAAAACAGACAAAAUCCCUGCUAUCAGGGAUCUUGUAUUCCAGUGGAGAAGUGGACGAAAAAUAAACAAGUAAAAUACACAGCAUGUCAAAGGGUAAUAAACGCUACGGAGCAUCAUGAAGCAGAUAGGAAAGACGGUGUUUGCUGGAAGAACAAAUGAAGUGCACUGACAAAAAAAUUAAAGCUGUCCAGUCCUAUCAUUUCAAUUAAUAUUGGGGGAAAUGUGUUCUGUUGAAGAGUAGGAAAGGAGCCUUGACUCUGAGUUUGUUCACCUUGUCAGCCUGGAGAAUUUAUGAGGCAGCACGUACUGUCUGAGACACUGCAGUGUGCUAAGACCCUGCCUAAAGCAGGGAAGGCUGUUUAGAAAUUAAUUUCUAUUCUUUGCACAGUGGCUCCUGUACCUUAAUCCACCACAGAGUUUUUUGGGUUUUUUUUUUUUGCUCAUUUUUGAAUGCAGGGAACUGUGGAUAUCAUAUCUUGAUCUGGUUUAUUGCCUCUGUAUAAGCGAUAAGUGGGUGACAAUGGAAGAGACACACUGAGACAUUUUGCCUCACAGUGCGAAUGUAGGAGGGUGCUAAAGUUAGCAAUUCUACAGACUUGACAGAAACCCGUAGAAUUUCUCCAGUUCUCACUACACCAGCCCUAGACCCCUGUAGUUGCCAUUCCAGGCAGGCUCCUAAGAAGGAGAGAAAAAGGCAGUGAAUCGGUGAGAACUGCCAGAGACUCCAGGGGUGUCCAGUAAGACACCUCCUUUGAUAAGCAUCAGGAGGAAGGGACAUGUGGGCUCCUUGUCCAUGUGUGGCCUGGGAGGAAAGUAGAGACACCAACACAGUGUCUGUUAUGACUCUUGAGAGAAGGCACAGAGAGAGGCUCAGUGGGGCUGGGGGCUGAAUUCAGGGAUAGUGUUGGUGAGGGUCAUGUCCUGCUGAGCCUUGCUUUGUUGAGGCCCUGGGUCCUGCCUUACUUGCCUAGGAGAGGGCAAGAUAGAUGAGGAAGCAGAUCCUCUGCAUGGCUUCACACAGGGACCCCUCUGCCUUCCAGCUGCCCCCAGCUGCUUCCUUCUCUCAGUUAACACCUUCUGUAUGAUGCACUUGUGCUAUAGCUCCUGUCCCCAGCCAUCCCAUUCCCCUGAGGAGUCUUGCCAACCACAGAAGGCUCACAGUACCUGCUUCCUGUUGAUGGGAUGACAGUGCUUCUUUGAGAUGAAUGAUGUAGUCCCAUAAGUAAAGCCAGCUGAGGGGAGCUUGUUUGAUUGAUAGCAAGGUUUCUGUUUCCUGCCCUAGAAGUUAAAUUCGAUAUCAUUGCUCCAUUUCCAAAUUAGAUAUACAUGGUGUAUACUCUGUGGUGAUGUUAACAGUUAAUAUCAAGAAGAAGAAUUAUUGACAUUUACAGCUGUAAUCAAAAGAACCAUCAAAGGAAGAGAUCAAUACUACUGCACAAAGACUCUGAGGAUGUUGUAAUGAUCGUUGUGUUCCUUGCAAACUCCCUCUAGGCAAAGUUGGAUAAGGGUGAUUCACCCAUGUGUAAAAGAGCAAUUCAAUGAAACACUGUCUCCAAGUUUGAACCAGUUUCCUGAUCUUUAUUGAGCUCAUCUAUCUUUUUUUUUUUUUCCUUGAAGGGUACCUAUACUGAAUUCCACAAACAAAAUAUUGUAAAAAACAAACAAAACAAAACAUAGAAAUCACCACUACAUUCUGGUUUAUGACAGCCUCAAUUUAUAGAAACUUCAAAAGAAGGAAGUAUUUGAAUUUUUGGACAUAUACUUUGGAAAUUAAAAACCAAUAAUUUUUGAAAUUUCAAAAUUGAACAGGUAAACUAAUAAUGGGAAUUAGGAAGUACAGCCAAAACAUGGAAGAGGGUCACUUGGUAAGCAAAAAAUCAAGGGCAAAGGUGUCUUGCAGUGUCUAGGGAUGGGCCCAGGACCUCGGAUCCUAUGCUAAUGGAGGAAAAAUGUGCUUAAACUUUCUUGACUUCACCAUUGUGACUGAGAAAGACUGUGAGGGAAUUUAGGUAAGGAUGGUUCAAGUUCACCUGCGCCCUGGUCUUUGCUCUUCCCACACACCUCUGUUGCAUUUUAUCUAAGUAACUACCCUGCCCACUAUUUCUGCAGGACUAUAAGUAAGUACUCAAGGAGACCACAUUACUUGGUAUUAAUGUUGUGUCAUCAUUACCCACCUGAACCACAUCGAGGUGCUCACUCUCUUUAAUUCUUUGAAAGUUACCAAGGUCUACCUCUCAGGACUUAAUACUUGAUCUUUUAUAUCAAGUCAUCUAGCUCUGGGAUCAGCCUAUAAAUCUAGGCCUUCUUACCUUAUCACUCUGCAUCAGACCCUGGAGAUUUACAAAUGAAUGACAAACAUGCUCUUGUCUCUCACAGGGCUUAUGUUGGAGCAUAAGAACCAAUCACCACUUAAAUAUUUGCAUAAUCAAUUUUUCUGUUGCAGCUCUCUGUGAUAAAUAUUCUACAGAAGUGGGAGGAUCAUGAGAGCAUAUUAGAGAAUCCAGGUUCCAGUCAGGAGGGCAGGGAAGUGACUUUUCAAUUGAGACUGAGUCUAUUAUACUUCCAGAUCCACUCUGCUUCCUACUACUCCAGGAGGUUGACCUUAAUGGACUGUAUCUACUUGGUUCCCUCACUUCCUGGUAUCCCAUUUGGUCUAGCCAAUGGGAGGCACCAGCAGGAGUCUAAAAGGAAGGAGGAGAGCGAGGUGGGUGUUCUUACCCUAAGUUCUUCCUGCCAGGCGCGGGUUGGCAGAGGCUGCCUUCCUCUGCUGGAGACUACAGCUCCUCUCUUGCAGCUGCACAUUUCAGUAAAGGCUGUUCCCCACCAUGCUUCAGGCCUAGGAGGGCAGGUAGGAGCUCUUGCCAGCCCCUGGGUGUUUCACCUUUUUUUUAUUGUUUUCCCAUAAUCCUGUGUAUUAGUUUCCCACAGCUGCCUUAAAGUAUCACAAACUGGGUGAUUUGAAGCAAUAUAAAUUUUUGUCUCACAGUUCUGGAAGCUCAAAAUCUGAAGUCAGGGUGUUGACAGGGCCAUGCUUCCUCUGAAACUUGUGGGGGAACACUUCCUUGCCUCUUGUCUCUUGCUGGCAAUCUCUGGAGUUCUUUGGCUUGGCUUGCAGUUGCUUAACUAUAGCAUCUUGCCUCACUGUCACCUGGUGUUCUCUUGUGUAUCUUUGUCUUCAGGUGACUUCCUUAUGAGAACACUAAUUAUAUUGGGUUUGGAACCACUAUACUCCCCUCUGACCACAUGGUAGCUAGUUACAUCAUCAACUACUUUAUUUCCAAAUAAGGGUCACAUUUUAAGUUAUUAAGUGUAUUUUAGUCAUCAUUUUCAUUGCUGUGACCAAAAGACUCAACAAGAACAAUAUCAAAAAGGAAAAGUUUAUUCUGGCUCAUAGUUUUAGAAGUUCAGUAUACAAAUGGUGAAUUCCACAGUCAUGGACUUGAAAUGAGGGAGAACAUCACCACGGUGGUUAUGUAUGGGCUCAGCAACAUGGACUUCCACUCAUCAAGGCUGACCUGCUGAAGGUCCGGUUUGACAGCAGCAGAGACUGACACUAAGCCUCUCAUGUAGCAUUGUCUCUCAGGGAGAUCAGCCAGCAACCUGGUGGUAGGUUGAUAUACUGGACCACUUCUAUCAUGGAAGGGGAAACAGUUUGUCCAUCCUGGAAUGAAUUUAUCUUCUCUGCACAUUAUGCUUCAGCAAAAAUCACCAUCCGUGUACUUACAGAAUGCCUUAUCCACUGUCAUCUACACAUGGCAUUGCUUCUGACAAGGAGCUCACUUCACAGCCAAAGAACUGUGGAAAUGGGCUCAUGCGCAUGGAAAUUUACAGGCCUUCCCAUGACCCCACCAUCCUGAAACAGCUGGUUUGAGAGGACAGUGGAAUGGCCUUUAGAAGAUACAGGUACAGCACCAGUUAGGUGGCAAUACUUGCAGGAGUGGGGCAAGAUUCUCUAAACCUGCAUCUACUAUAUGGUACUGUCUCUCCUAUAGCUAGGAUUCAUGCAUCCAAGAAUCAAGGGGUGGAAACAGGAAUGGUAUCACUCACCAUUACCCCUAAUGAUCCACUAGCAAGGGUUUUGUUUCCUGUCCCCUCAACCUUAUACUGUGCUAGCCUAGAAGUCUUAGUUCCAGAGGGAAAAUGCUUCUACCAGGAGGUAUGGCAAUGAUUUCAUUAAACUGGAAGUUAAGAAACCCCUCGGCCACUUUGGUUCCUCCUUCCUUUGAGUCAAUAGGCUAAAAAGGGAGUUAUGGUGUUGGCAAAGGUGGGAUUGAUCCAGAUUACCAAAGGGAAAUUGAAGGCAAGGAAGAGUAGGCCUGGAGUGCCGGAGAUCCCUUGAGUGUCUUUUUACUUCAACAUGUCCUGUUACUAAGGUCAGUGGGAAGCUACAACAACCCAAUCCAGGCAGGAUGAAAAAUGUCUCAUACCCUUUAGGAAUAAAGGUGUGGGUCAUCCCUCCAGGGAAAGAACCAAGAUCUGCUGAGGUUCUUAUUGAACACAGAGGGAAUACACAAUGGGUAGUAAAAGGAGGUAGUUAUAAAUACCAACUAUGGCCAUGUGACCAGUUACAGAAACAAGGACUGUAACUACCAGGAGUAUUUCUUUCCUAUUUUGUUAAUAAUAUCUUUGUUCCUAUAUACACAUCCAUUAACUGGACAUGUUUGUUUACUCUUAUUUUUUCAUCAUGUAAUGUAAUUUUCUAUAGUUUACUCUGAGAUUUGUUCACUGAAAGUGCUUAUGUAUUGUGUAAGUGGAGGUUACUCUCUCCUGCAAGUUUUCUUUUUUAAAAAUUUGUUCUUUUUAGUUAAACAUACAAUAGAUUGUAUUUUGACAUAUUAUCCAUACAUGGAGUAUAACUUCCCAUUCUUGUGGCUGUACAUGGUGACAGAGAGGGCUGGUAUGAACAAUAAAUCAAAGCCCAGAGGUGGAAGACAGUGCAGGAGAGGGAAGGAGGUGACAGGGGAAGCUUGGGGUGGGUGUGGCUAGGAGAAGUGCUCCCCGAGGCAGAGAGAGGCAGCUGCCCCUGCGCCAAGAGGGAACUUGGACAAAAAUGCUCCUGUCCUGGGGUGCUCAGGUGGGAGGCAGAAAGGCCUGCCAGGGCUCUGCCCUCAGACUCCACCUUAAGUUCUGCGAAGGCUGUGUUCCUUCCGCCCAGUUAUUCUUUAGGUCACAAUUUCUCAGGUCCUGGCCACUUUCUUUUCUUGUGACUUUUGUGAGGAACUAAUUUUUUUCUCUACCAUUUGUAAAAUGGGGGAUAGCUCACAAGGUUUCUGUGAGAAAUAAACGAAAUUAUAUUUGCUAACACUUGUUUCAUUGCUUAUCUAUGUGAGUUUUCUCCUUGCCAACAAAACAAAAAACAAAACAAACAAAAAACCAAUGAUACUUGAGAUUUGAACAGUUAGUAGGAGAAGCAAGAGCAGUUUGGGGGUAGUAUCCAUCUUCCCCCUAAUCAUCGACAGUCUCCUACUACUUGCCAUCUUACGCUCUCUUAAAGGCUGUGAAAAUGCAGCCUCAAGGCAAGUUCUGGAGGCAUCUUGCAACAAGAUUGCCAUCCCCCAGCUCCUCAUUUGUAGAAAUUGUGGAGCUUCCAUUGCACGUAGUGUUUUACAGUUACAGAUGUGGCCUUGCACUUGCUGUUGGGUCUGUUUUUAUCUCCUGUGUUAUCCCUCACUGGUCCUCAAAGAUGCUGACUCAAGCGACCUGAUUUCUGCCCACAGGAUGUCUGACCUGAAAGCAUGUCGCUGUCCACAACAGGAGAGCAGAAGAACAGGAAGCAGCUCAUUCCAAGAUCAGAGCUGCAGGAAGGACCCAGGUCUCUGGGCUGUGGCCCUGAAGUCAGGCUCUGUCGGCACAGGAACUGCUGUUCCCUGCAGCCUUCCCACACAGGGUUGGGGAGAUGCAAACUGCCACAAGCGUGUCUUGCUUUUCUGUUAGAGUAAGAUGACUGUAAGGUUGAUGUGGUUAAUAUUUCAUUUUCAGGGCCAGGGUGCUGGCUGGGAGGACCAGGCAAAUCAACUGACAGUCAUGGAGGAAGAUAUGUUUAUUGGCUUCGUCGGGAACGGAAGGACAAAUGAAAGAUUUGAGGGCAGGAGGGACCUCAGCGAGUCUUCUAAUCCCUGUUUCAGCCUUCACUCAGCCAUGUUCUCAAGCAGAGAGCUGCUUUACCUGUUCUUCAAACAUGUUCCUUAAAUUUACCUUCCAUUUCUUUUUUUAAUUUAAUUUUAACUGAUACAUAAAAUUGUACAUAUCGAUGGGGUACUAUGUGAUAUUUUGAUACCUGUAUAUUCU